GUAGCACGCAGUGGGUUUGGGACAGACGAGUCAUUUCAGUGCUUCCAGUUGAGAGCCGGGGGGCCGGACACGGAGGGCAGCAGGACGGACUGGGAGCGAGGAAGCGGAGCCGGAGCGAUUCCCCGACGCAGGUGAGAGGAAGAUGAAGGUCCUGUUGGCGCUGGCAGUGCUGUUCGCCUGCAGUGUGUUCACAGCUCGUGGAAAGUUCCCACGCGCACCAGGACUCGAGGGAAGCACCGUAGGAAACCUGACCGCCCACGGUUGCUACUCGGGAUGGGGCAGGAGUGGCAGAGCAAAGGCUUCCAUGGACCGGUGCUGCCUGCUCCGCGCCUGCUGCUACGCCAAGCUGGUGGCACGGCGGUGCCGCCUGGGACCGAUCCAGCCCCUCUCGGCGCCCCAGGCAGGAAUCCCCACCUGCAGGUCCGGGACCUGGUGCCAGAGAGGAGCGUGCAGAUGCGAGCGAGCAGCCUGGCUCUGCCAGAUGCGCGGCCGGGGUCUGCUCCGGCAUCGUAGCAAGUGCCGGGGACGUGCCGGGAGGUGUUGAAGGAAAAAGGCUCUGCAAAACCACCUCCAGGCUGAUAAGCAAAGGGCCAGCAGGGCGCUGGGAGCAUUUCCCAGCCCUGGCAGGUCUCCUCCUCGGGGCUUUUUGGCUUUGACAUCAGGACAACAACCCUCUUGUGAAGUUGCAUCAUUAUACACUGGAUGCGAGGGGGAAGAGCAGCACAGAUGCGAAGUUUCAGCACAGAAAAACAAGGGAGGGGUGGACACCUGCGACACAUCGCUGCAAAGGGCAAGAUGGAAGCCAACGCGAGCCUCUCCGCCGACACUCAUUUCCCCUUGGCUCGAGCUCCCCGUGCAGCCUGUCAGCUCCCUCUGCUUUUUGCUUCACCGCAGAUUCUCUUCUGUUGCUCCAAAAUAAAAGCAGAGAGCACAAAA
rnacentral:lncRNA from 1 species